rnacentral:misc_RNA from 1 species
CUGCCCUCAAGCACGGCUUGUGUGUUGGGCUCCGUCCCCCCGGGGACGGGCCCGAAAGGCAGCGGCGGCACCGAGUCCGGUCCUCGAGCGUAUGGGGCUUUGUCACCCGCUCUGUAGGCCCGGCCGGCGCCACGCCGACAACCCAUCAUCCUUUUCAGG